UGAGACUGUGCCUGGUGGAAGCUGCCUGUGUGGUGAGCCACCUGCUCCAGAUCAGGAAAAGCACAGGCUCUGGAUCAGGGCUGGCUCCAUGCCCACCUCUGCCACAACUCCAUUGUGUCCUUGACCAAAUACCUCCCUGUGUUUCUAAUCUGUGAAAUUGUGGCGCUGGACUUGAUGAUUGUUGAGGUUCUUUCACAUUCUGCAGCAGGGUGAAGAGUGAAUGCAGUGACCCACUCUCUUCCCAUUCCUCCAGACUUUUCUGGAAGUCCAAUUUGAGGCACCUCAACUUUCCAGAGCAGGGCCGUAACCCAGCAAAUGAUGGAGGAAUCCCCCCUACCAAAUCUCAGCUGCUCACUCAAUAUGAGGCUGGGUCCGAAGCACCAAGACAGCAUUGAUCUGGGCUUCAGAUCCUCUGUUUAAGAAGAGAAUGCAUCUUAGGAAACUGUCAUUUUUAACUCGUUCAAACAAAAGAAGUCUUGUUUUGAGAAGGAGAGCUCUCAGUCAUCUGAAAAGAUCCCCAGUAUGCCUCCCCACUCCCCAGGCCCCCGUCUCUGAUGGUGUAGGAUAAAUGGCUAAUCCUUUCUCAGGAUUGAGAACAUAUCCAGUGUCUCCAAAGUGGCCU
rnacentral:lncRNA from 1 species